GAUCUAGGUCUGGGGAGCCACUUGCGUUUCAAAUCUCUAUGUUCGUUUCCCAAGCAAAGGCCAGGGAGUCUGCAUUGUGGAUACUAUGUAUGUGCUUUCAUCAGUAACACAAAAGGCUACAGGAGACACCCUGAAUUGUGGAAAGAAGAAAAAGGACUAAAAAGGGAUGUCUACAGGGAUGAUGACCUCUUAGAGAUUGUCGGUGACCUUUGCAACUUUAUAA